rnacentral:rRNA from 1 species
UGCCAGACUCCUACGGGAGGCAGCAGUGAGGAAUAUUGGUCAAUGGGCGAGAGCCUGAACCAGCCAAGUCGCGUGAAGGAUGACGGCCCUACGGGUUGUAAACUUCUUUUGUCAGGGAGCAAUUGGGUCCACGCGUGGGCUUAGCGAGAGUACCUGAAGAAAAAGCAUCGGCUAACUACGUGCCAGCAGCCGCGGUCAUACGUAGGAUCCGAGCAUUAUCCGGAGUGACUGGGUGUAAAGAGUUGCGUAGGUGGCAUAAUAAGUAGCUAGUGAAAUCUGGUGGCUCAACCAUUCAGACUAUUAGCUAAACUGUUAAGCUCGAGACCGUUAGGGGUAACUGGAAUUUCUAGUGUAGGAGUGAAAUCCGUAGAUAUUAGAAGGAACACCGAUAGCGUAGGCAGGUUACUGGGACGGUUCUGACACUAAGGCACGAAAGCGUAGGGAGCAAACGGGAUUAGAUACCCUCGUAGA